CCUCGACAGUACGUCCUACUAUCCUGAAGAACGCGUGACUACCAUCUCUCUUUCUCGACGAAGACCACGACCACAUCUCCGAGAAAAUUAAAGAAAGAGAAAACUACAGAAGCAAUUUACGUACAUAUCUGGGCGAGCAGAUCAUUCGUUGAUAUCCGAAGCACCCUAAUCACUCUCGCCCUCUCUUCUCUGAGAAAAAGAGACGCACUCUUGGCUAUGCCUAUGGCCGAGUUGACUAAGACAGAGGUGUACUCGCCGAGGUCUCUGCAAGUAUGGCGGACGCUCCUGAACUGGUUGGCCUUGUUCUUUCAGAUCUUCCUUCAGAUCCUCAGAGCUCUCGGCCACCACGCUCUGCUCUCUUCCUCCUCCUCUUCUUCUCCUUCUUUCAAGCCCUUGCCGGUCGUCGAGCUCCCGGAACACGACUCUCCAGCAGCCUCCACCGUUGAAAUCGCCACCGCAUCCGGGGAUUUCGAGUCCGGCGAGCAGUUCGAGAAGCUCACGUUUGCAUUUAGUUUGCUUCCCAUCCAUACCAUGGUACUGGUAUCUAUUUCAUAGAGACGUUUGGAAGGUGUAGGUGUACAAUGUUUUUGACCGUCACAAACUUCGGAUGUGCAAGUUUGUUAAGAAAGUUUAAGAACAUGAGUGCAAAAUAUGCCAACCCCAAUUAGUUCAGAUAUCGCAAAUGAAAAAUUCACUUGCAGGUGGUUCUUGACUUGGAUGAAACUCUAGUAUGUGCCUAUGAGACAUCUAGUUUGCCAGCUGUUGUUCGUAAUCAAGCCACAGAAGCUGGGUUGAAGUGGUUUGAACUGGAAUGCAUCUCUUCAGACAAGGAAAGUGAAGGAAAACCUAAGGUCAACUACGUUACAGUUUUUGAGCGUCCUGGGUUGCAAGAAUUCUUAAAAGACCUUGGUGAAUUUGCGGAUCUUGUGCUGUUUACUGCUGGUCUUGAAGGUUAUGCUAGACCACUUGUUGACAAAAUAGAUAAGGAAAAUCGAUUUGGUAGUCGACUCUAUCGACCUUCAACAAUUAGCACGGAGUACCGGGAGCAUGUGAAGGAUCUCUCCUGCCUGUCAAAGAAUCCAUCCCGAAUUGUUAUUGUUGACAACAAUCCAUUCAGUUUCUUAUUGCAACCAUGGAAUGGAAUUCCAUGCAUUCCAUUUACUGCUGGGCAACCGCAUGACACACAGCUUCUGGAUGUCCUCCUUCCACUCCUCAAGCACCUUUCUCAGCAGAAAGAUGUGAGACCAGUGCUCUAUGAAAGGUUCCAUAUGCCUGAAUGGUUUCAAAAGCAAGGAAUUCCUACUUCUGCUUGGAUGUUGUAGAAUAAAGACUAUGCAAUAAGAGCCGCCAUUCUUCUUUGUACAAUCACCUGCAAUUCCUCUUUUUCAAAGGCAGCACACCUCAUCAAUGGACUCAAAAUUUUUGUAUAGCAUCGAUUUGUACACGGGAGAUGAUGAAACCUCGUUUGAAGCUCUAUCCGAAGAUUUCAACUGCUGCACACCUUGGUCCCAUAGCUACACCAUUUAUGCAUGUAGAUUUGUCAAAGUUCUGAUUGCUAUGAAACUUGAUUUUCAGGCUUGUGAUCAUCUUGAUUGUUUCUGUAACUUGUUAGAAAUUUGUUAAGACAGUAAUCAAUAAUUAUUAGCUGUUUAAAUGUUCACAGCAGCAUUGCUCAACAAUUAUUUGA